rnacentral:tRNA from 1 species
UCCCUGGUGGCUGAGUUGGUAAAGAUUCUGCCCACAAUGCAGGAGACCCGGGUUCGAUCCCUGGGUUGGGAG